rnacentral:Y_RNA from 1 species
AGCUGGUCCAAUGGUAGUGGGUUAUCAGAACUUAUUAAUAUUAGUGUCACUAAAGUUGGUAUUCAACCCCCCACUGCUAAAUUUGACUGCCUUUAA